ACUGAGUUUCACGUUUCUUUAAAAUCUGCAAGGCCUCAUCUGAUCUCAAAAGCUAAGCAGGGUCGGGCCUGGUUAGUACUUGGAUGGGAGACCACCUAGGAAGACCAGGUGCUGUAGGUG
rnacentral:rRNA from 1 species